UUUUAUUAAGGUACACAAUAAAUUAUUAUUAUUAUUUUUUCCCGGAAAACAAAUUGUUCCUUUUUUCAGGAAGAGAGAACGGGCGCUAGUUCUAAUAUUCACUUCUAUUUGUCAUCAGAUAUAAUCCACAUUUUGGGGAAUAGACGUUUUUGAUUAUUUGGAAUGAUCCUACCAUGUAUUAACAAAAAUCAAAUAGAUGGCUGAUCAAGUAAGAUUCGACAAAUUCUCUCUUCCCUGUUUAAAAUAUUGGUUGUAGAAUUGCAUAAAUUGUCAGCCAUGAUGACGUUGCAGCCACCGAAGAGAUAAUCCCCGGGCUUCAUGGCAAAUCUACACAAUAUGGAUCAGCUUGCCCGAGCAAUAGGAAGCUGCCUCCCUGUGCAAGAACAAAAAGGGGAAAAACAAUUGCACGCUCCCUACGCAGGCAUUAUCCUGUUCAGGUUCAAAGGGACUUUCUCAGCCUGACCUGCUCUUUCUUCUGACCAAAUGGCCAGUUUUAAAGCAGAAAACAGGCACCCCUGGUGCGUUUCUUUUGUUAACAAAGCAACCCAAAAAACAAAAGGAACUUAAGCAUAAAGAUUAUGUAGCAAUUGCAUUAUUGCUUUUUAUUACUGCAACACACAAGAAGCAAACGAAGAUAAAACGUUUCCCGUUCCUAACAACCUAAACCAUCAACUUACCUCUAUCUGGAAAGCAAAAAGGCAUAUCCCUUUUUUUCACAACCCAGCUAUGCAUCACGGUUCCAACGCUUUUUUAACCAAAUCCAUGCACUCAUACACUCCUUUCAGAGGAUUUAAUGUAACUUGCUGGCAGGUAGAUUUCUCCACCAACUUCACCAUGUUGUUCUCCGCUAACAGUUUUCUUAGCAGCCAGGAAUUCAGCACUCAUGGCAUCCAUCCCACGCUGCACAGCUUCCUCAGCACUACCAUAACCAUGCUCCUCUGCAUACUUCCGCACAUCCUCUGUUAUCUUCAUGGAGCAGAACUUUGGCCCACACAUAGAGCAGAAAUGUGCUACUUUUGCACCUUCUGAUGGCAGGGUUUCAUCAUGGAAGGACAUUGCAGUCAUGGGGUCCAAGGAUAAAGCAAAUUGGUCCAUCCAUCUAAACUCAAAUCGAGCCUUGCUUAAUGCAUCAUCCCAGGCUUGAGCAUGAGGGUGACCUUUUGCUAAAUCGGCUGCAUGUGCAGAUAUCUUAUAUGCUAUAACCCCCGCCUUCACAUCAUCCCUAUUUGGCAAUCCAAGAUGCUCCUUUGGCGUGACAUAACAGAGUAGUGCAGUGCCAAGAGCACCAAUGUUGGCAGCACCAAUGGCAGAGGUAAUGUGAUCGUAUCCAGGAGCAAUAUCUGUCGUCAGGGGUCCAAGUGUGUAGAAAGGUGCUUCAUUGCACCACUCUAGCUGUUUUUGCAUGUUCUCUGGGAUUUUGUGCAUAGGAAUAUGGCCAGGUCCUUCAUUCAUCACCUGCACAUCCUUCUCCCACGCCCUACGGGUUAGUUCCCCUUGAGUCAAGAGCUCUGCAAACUGAGCAGUAUCAUUUGCAUCAUAUAUGGACCCAGGUCUCAGCCCAUCGCCAAUUGAAAGAGCCACAUCAUAUUGAUUACAGAUGUUAAGUAUGUCGUCCCAGUGUUCAUAGGCAAAAUUCUCCUUGUGAUAAGCCAAACACCACUUUGCAUGAAUUGAUCCUCCACGAGAAACAAUUCCCGUCAUUCUUUUUGCAGUUAAAGGAAUGUAUCGUAGAAGAACCCCGGCAUGGAUAGUGAAAUAAUCAACGCCCUGCUCUGCUUGUUCAAUCAAUGUGUCUCUGAAGACUUCCCAGCUCAGAUUUUCAGCAAUUCCAUUCACUUUUUCAAGUGCUUGAUAGAUGGGUACAGUUCCAACUGGUACCGCAGAGUUUCGUAAUAUCCAUUCACGGGUCUCAUGAAUGUGGCGACCUGUUGAAAGGUCCAUGACAGUGUCAGCACCCCACAUGGUUGCCCAUUGAACCUUAUAAACUUCAUCCUCAAUAGAGCUUGCAACAGCAGAAUUUCCAAUAUUUGCAUUGACUUUGACCAAAAAAUUUCUUCCAACUAUCAUUGGCUCUAACUCUAGGUGCUUCUUGUUGGAAGGGAUUAUUGCCCGUCCACGUGCAACCUCUGACCUCACGAACUCUGGGUCAAGUUUCUCACGAGCAGCACAAUACAACAUUUCCUCAGUUAUUAUUCCUUGCUUCGCAUAGUACAUCUGAGUGUACCUUGGUGAGCCUAGCUUCUCCCGCCUAUCAACCCAGUCUUUGCGCAGUUUAGGAAGUCCUAUUCGGGGACUAAUGUUUUGAGGACCACUGGUAUCAUAAUUAUCAAAACUGGGUUCAUCCCCAGACAAGUGGACCAGUCUGAAAGGAACUUUGAGAACAUGACCAGAUUGUUCGUGAACAAUUUCCCUGUGUUCUUUGGUACUCCUUGGAAAACACUGUUCGAAGGAGGGAAGAGGAAGGAAAUCAGGAGAAGAAGGAUCAACAGUAUGCUUCCUCUGCUUAGUUUUAUCUGAAUUGGUUGUUGGAGGAUCAAAGGUUAACGUCGCUCUGGGAACAGAUGAAACCAAAGAACGAGGCAGCGUUUCUUUCUUAAUAAAUCCACGCCCAGCCACAACAUCAAACCUCGGCGAGAAGGAGCUGCUCGGAAACUUCUGGGUGCCAUUUUUGCACAAAGCUGAGGCCAAACUAGUAGCUUGCACCGAAGCCAUUUUGUCACCAGAAAGAAAGAGAGAGUCUUGUCUGAUCAAGAAGUGAGAGCGAGGAGAUAAAACUGAACCGCCGAAAGCAGUCCAAGGUAGGCGCGGUCACGAGUUUUGCUUUGGCUUUUUAUUUAUAGGCGGUGCACCUACUGCUGCUAUCCUCUCCAAAGCAUAAAAGGUUUCC
rnacentral:misc_RNA from 1 species